rnacentral:lncRNA from 1 species
GUGCCACGUUGAAAGUCACUGAGCUCUUCAGUAAGGCCAUUCUACUGACAAUGUUUGUCUAUGGAGAUUGCAUGGCUGUGUGGUCGAUUUUAUACACCAGUCAGCAACGGGUGUGGCUGAAAUAGCAGAAUCCACUCAUUUGAAGGAGUGUCCACAUCCUUUUCUAUAUAUAGUGUAGCUGUGAUACAUUCCAGGGCCUGGGCCAAGAGGGAUGUGGGAAGAGAUACAAGAAGGACUAGAGGUACUACAGGAGGUACUAGAGUUACUACAGGAGGUACUAGAGUUACUACAGGAGGUACUAGAGUUACUACAGGAGGUACUAGAAGGACUACAGAAGGUACUAGAGGUACUAGAGAGACUAGAGGUACUACAGGAGGUACUAUAGGUACUACAGGAGGUACUAGAGAGACUAGAGGUACUACAGGAGGUACUAUAGGUACUACAGGAGGUACUAGAGAGACUAGAGAGACUAGAGGUACUACAGGAGGUACUACAGAAGGUACUAUAGGUACUACAGGAGGUACUAGAGAGACUACAGGUACUACAGGAGGUCCUAUAGGUACUACAGGAGGUACUAGAGAGACUAGAGGUACUACAGGAGGUACUAUAGGUACUACAGGAGGUACUAGAGAGACUAGAGGUACUACAGGAGUUUCUACAGGACAAACUAGAGAUACUACAGGAGGAACUACAGGAGGUACUAGAAAAGGAACUAGAGGUACUACAGUAGGUACUACAGGAGGAGGUAGAGGUACUACAGGAGGAGGUAGAGGUACUACAGGAGGAAGUAGAGGUACUACAGGAGGUACUACAGGGGGUAGUAGAGGUACUACAGGAGGAACUAGAGGUACUACAGGUACUACAGGAGGAAGUAUAGGGGGUAGUAGAGGUACUACAGGAGGUACUACAGGGGGUAGUAGAGGUACUAGAGGAGGUACUAGAGGAGGAAGUAGAGGUACUACAGGAGGUACUAGAGGAGGAAGUAGAGGUACUACAGGAGGAAGUAGAGGUACUAGAGGAGGAAGUAGAGGUACUAGAGGAGGAAGUAGA